rnacentral:rRNA from 1 species
GACGAACGCUGGCGGCGUGCUUAACACAUGCAAGUCGAACGGUGAUCUUGGGAGCUCGCUCCUGGGUGAUCAGUGGCGAACGGGUGAGUAACACGUGAGUAACCUGCCCCUGACUCUGGAAUAACUUCGGGAAACCGAAGCUAAUACCGGAUAUGACACAGAGCCGCAUGGUUUCUGUGUGGAAAGUUUUUUCGGUUGGGGAUGGACUCGCGGCCUAUCAGCUUGUUGGUGAGGUAAUGGCUCACCAAGGCGACGACGGGUAGCCGGCCUGAGAGGGCGACCGGCCACACGGGGACUGAGACACGGCCCAGACUCCUACGGGGGGCAGCAGUGGGGAAUAUUGCACAAUGGGCGAAAGCCUGAUGCAGCGACGCCGCGUGAGGGAUGAGGGCCUUCGGGUUGUAAACCUCUUUCAGUAGGGAAGAAGCGCAAGUGACGGUACCUACAGAAGAAGCACCGGCUAACUACGUGCCAGCCGCCGCCGUAACAC